rnacentral:rRNA from 1 species
CCUACGGGGGGCUGCAGUGAGGAAUAUUGCGCAAUGGGGGAAACCCUGACGCAGCGACGCCGCGUGAGUGAGGAAGGCCUUCGGGUCGUAAAACUCUGUCAAGAGGGAAGAAGUGCACAGGGGCUAAUACCUUCUGUGUUUGACGGUACCUCUAAAGGAAGCACCGGCUAACUCCGUGCCAGCAGCCGCGGUAAUACGGAGGGUGCAAGCGUUGUUCGGAAUUACUGGGCGUAAAGGGCACGUAGGCGGCUUGGCAAGUCGGAUGUGAAAGCCCAUGGCUUAACCAUGGAAGUGCAUUCGAAACUGUUAGGCUUGAGUACCAGAGGGGAAAGUGGAAUUCCCGGUGUAGAGGUGAAAUUCGUAGAUAUCGGGAGGAAUACCGGUGGCGAAGGCGACUUUCUGGCUGGAUACUGACGCUGAGGUGCGAAAGCGUGGGGAGCAAACAGGAUUAGAUACCCCAGUAGUC